UACAGAGGGUGCAAGCGUUGUUCGGAAUUAUUGGGCGUAAAGGGUGCGUAGGCGGUUUGGUAAGUCUUGUGUGAAAUCUACAGGCUCAACUUGUAGUCUGCACGAGAAACUGCCGGGCUUGAGUGUGGGAGAGGUGAGUGGAAUUCCUGGUGUAGCGGUGAAAUGCGUAGAUAUCAGGAGGAACACCUGUGGCGAAAGCGGCUCACUGGACCAUAACGU
rnacentral:rRNA from 1 species